GGCUCAGGACGAACGCUGGCGGCGUGCUUAACACAUGCAAGUCGAGCGAAGCAAUUUAAGUGAAGUUUUCGGAUGGAUCUUAAAUUGACUGAGCGGCGGACGGGUGAGUAACGCGUGGAUAACCUGCCUCACACAGGGGGAUAACAGUUAGAAAUGACUGCUAAUACCGCAUAAGCGCACGGUACCGCAUGGUACAGUGUGAAAAACUCCGGUGGUGUGAGAUGGAUCCGCGUCUGAUUAGGUAGUUGGUGAGGUAACGGCCCACCAAGCCGACGAUCAGUAGCCGACCUGAGAGGGUGACCGGCCACAUUGGGACUGAGACACGGCCCAAACUCCUACGGGAGGCAGCAG
rnacentral:rRNA from 1 species